GAUGAACGCUGGCGGCGUGCCUAAUACAUGCAAGUCGAGCGAACGGACGAGAAGCUUGCUUCUCUGAUGUUAGCGGCGGACGGGUGAGUAACACGUGGAUAACCUACCUAUAAGACUGGGAUAACUUCGGGAAACCGGAGCUAAUACCGGAUGAUAUUUUGAACCGCAUGGUUCAAAAGUGAAAGACGGUCUUGCUGUCACUUAUAGAUGGAUCCGCGCUGCAUUAGCUAGUUGGUAAGGUAACGGCUUACCAAGGCAACGAUGCAUAGCCGACCUGAGAGGGUGAUCGGCCACACUGGAACUGAGACACGGUCCAGACUCCUACGGGAGGCAGCAGUAGGGAAUCUUCCGCAAUGGGCGAAAGCCUGACGGAGCAACGCCUCGUGAGUGAUGAAGGUCUUCGGAUCGUAAAACUCUGUUAUUAGGGAAGAACAUAUGUGUAAGUAACUGUGCACAUCUUGACGGUACCUAAUCAGAAAGCCACGGCUAACUACGUG
rnacentral:rRNA from 1 species